UACGUAGGCUGCAAGCGUUGUUCGGAAUUACUGGGCGUAAAGCGUGUGUAGGCGGUUCUUCAAGUCUGGUGUGAAAUCUCCCGGCUUAACUGGGAGGGUGCAUUAGAAACUGGAAUGCUAGAGGAUGGGAGAGGUAAGCGGAAUUCCUGGUGUAGCGGUGAAAUGCGUAGAUAUCAGGAGGAACACCUGUGGUGUAGACAGCUUACUGGACCAUUUCUGACGCUGAGACACGAAAGCGUGGGGAGCAAACAGG
rnacentral:rRNA from 1 species